ACUGGGUAUGGUGGCACACACCUGUAAUCCCAGCAACUGGGGAGGCUAAGCAGGAGGAUUGCUAGUUUGAGGCCAGCUUGGACAAUGUGGUGAGGCCCUAAGCAACUUAGCAAAAUCCUGUCU
rnacentral:sRNA from 1 species